AACUGUUUUGUGCCAUAGAAGAAAAUCUGCAUCUCCUCUGCAUUUGGAUAUACAUACAAGUCCCCACUAUUAAAAAAACUUCCAUUUAUAAAAAUGACCAACAAAUUUUAAAAAAUAUACCCACUGUUUUUCCUCUUAGAUGGUGACAUAAAUAUGGUAAUUGAUCAAGGACUAACCUAGAUGUUGGAGACGUGUUUUCCUUCCAAGAUAACAAAGAACACUUUUAAUUUAUAUAUUUUAUAUUCACAUAAACUUCAAUAUCACCUGUCAUACAAACAUGCAGCCCCAAGUGCUUCACAUAGCAAAAAAAACAACUAUUAAAUAAAUGUUGAAAGACUAAAAACUACAACAAUAAAACAAUCAAACAAAAAAAGGUAAAAAUCACUAAAUUAAACGUCAAUAAAAUAAAAUGAAUGCCUGGGAUUAGAACAGACAUAAAAUGAAUGCUGUAACCUGACUUCGAAUUAAAAGUUAGAUUUUAAAAAGAUUUAAAGAUUUUAAAAAUAUUCAAAGAGAUUUAAGAGAGAUUUUUAAGAUUUAAAAAGAUAUUUAAAAAAUGGCAUUGCAUUAUCUAAAAAAAGAUUAGGGCAUAGCGUUUUAAAAAGUACAGACACUGACUAAAAUCCAACCUUGAUGGAUUUACUAAAAGCAUGCAUAGUUUUUCAGGAGCUGCCUUUGUCUAACUGUUCCUUCUUGGCUUUUAUAAAAUGGAUUGUGUUAAAGCCAUGCCUCUGUAUUUUCCCCAAAUGUUUAACAAAGACUGAAAUGAAGACUGGAUAGAAAGUAGAGGGAAAAAAUGGAAACAGCAUACAUUCAAAACAGAGCUAAAAACUGCACUUACUCCGGAGUAGUAACUAGAAGUUGCUAUCCAGUGGUAGAAAGUACAUUCACAAGUACAGUUGUGAGGUAUUAGUAAUUUGCUUGAGUUACACUUCCGCUCCAUUGAGUUUGCAGGCCACGUUGAAAACUGUUUUGUUACUGCUCUCUGUCUUUGUAUGGCAGCUGUGUGUUUGCUCUGUGCUCGUAUUAUUAUUUUCUCCUCAUUAAAUUUGAUCUUGUGCUGCCUGGUGUUAUCGUCCAGGAGAUGGGGCCAGAGUUCUCCACUGCUGCUGACUUUUAAUCUCCUAUGUUCUUCCACUCAGAGCGCUUAAGUCACGGGGGCUUUUGUUGCAUCUUUAAAGACAUAUCUGCAUUUUCUACUAUAGCGAGUACAAUAGGAUCUUCACCCUUAGAUUCAACACCAACUUUGAAAAUGAAGAUCAUUCCUGAGCAGGGCUGCCACCUGUCCUGUAUAGUACAUGUUUGUCGCGUUUUGAAAAUAAAAUGCACUGACCCUUACUAAAUCAAUAAGGGACAUGAUUUGUUCCGUUUUUAAUGCUUAAUCUUAGUUUUUCACAUGCUUGGAAUGUCAAAAAUAAAUAACCAAUAACCCACAUGGUGGAAAUUAAAAGUGCAACGCGUAGGCUGCCCCAUCCUACAUGAAAGGUGUUGGACUGAAGGUUAAAAUUAGAUUUAUUUUACAGUGCUAUUUGAGUUUAUUUGUCGGUUCUUGCUUCUUUUAAAUAUACGAAAAUAGUUUAAUCUUUAAUAUAAUUGAUGCAGCUGUGCUUUACUCUUACGGCACUUUGUUUCCCUUACAUUCAUGUUGAGAGCAGCAGACGACUUUGAAAUUGGUGCUUAAAACAACAGAAUGCAGGAAAUGAAUUGUCCGACACAUUUAAUCUCAUAGGGUGAGGCCCCUGGACCCCCUGCUUGAUUUGUGUUCCCCAGGCACGGGGCCACUGGCAAGGUUUCCAUUACUUUUCCCAUUUAAGGUGGCAGCCCUGCUCCUGAGCCAGAGGUGAUGCUGAAUUUACAGUUGAAAUAGCCGUUAAUCACCAGACUGCCAACAGCACUAACUGCUUGAGAUGUUAUCAGCGGUAGGACUGCGUGGCUAUCAGUCUGUUUUGAGCCCAGCCUCGCUUAUUUUUGUCUGACCAUGAUGCACUGGGACUGGGAGCUUCCAUUUGUCAUGAUAAAGCGGAUUAUGGGCUGGUGAUGUGUGUGACAGCAGCAGAGGCGGCCUGAGUGAACAGGCUCUGUUUAAUAUGAGUAAUGCCUCCUUGUAGCGAGCAGGAACUAUUGUGUUAGGUGGAGGUUUAGAGCGCUGCCAAAAUCUCCCCCAUGAACUCAUCUCCAUGGUAACUGGGACAUGUAGUGCAUGGCAGGCGGAUAUCUUGGUAUCAUCCUUUGUAUAUGUGCAGACGUUUACACAUUUUUGCUCCUUAAGGGGGGACACUUUAAAGCCCAGAGGAGAAGCAGGACAUCACAUAACACAGGCCGUUAAAAAAAGGUUGUAGUAGUUUUCCCCCUGUAUCUAACACUGAAAAUUAAAUAAGCUAAGUGUCAUUUAUUGUUUUUAUGACACAAUUAUCUGGCUGAUGAGUCAGGCAGAAGCAGUCUGAUGAGGUGUGAGGCUGAUGAGCAGGAUGUGAUGGAGGUGCAGGGAUAGCAAACAUCUGGUGUGAGAGAAGAUGCUGCUGGUUUCUGUUAUUGAGUUUUGAUGGACGGUUUAUGAACGGGCAGGUGUGCAGCUUAUCACCGAGUCCCGGGAGUACAGCUAUCAAGAGAGGAAGAGAUCCCAGUGAGCUCAUGCUGGGUCAGGGAAGAGCUAAGAGUAAAUCUGUCAACUCUAAUGCGGAAAGUUUUAUGUGCAUUUGUAGUAUCUAUAGUAACAAGUGCUGAGUUUAUUUACAUUUUUUGGAGGAAAACUUGGCCUAGUUUGGUCGUGGUCUAACUUUACUGUAUAAACUAAAGAAGGCUAAAUGUUCUGAAGAAAAUGUAAGUGUGCAUGGAGCUGAAAAUUAUUUGAAACAUUUGAAACAGGUGAAUUACUUUAAGAAGUUGAUGUGGCUCACAAAAUGCAGUUGGUGAAAGAAAUUAGAGUUAAAUUGUGAGUCCUGAAGUUGUUGAAAUACUGAAAGAAGCUGAAGUGGCAGUCAAAAGACUGAAAGAAGUUGGGAUAUCAGAUAAAACAGAGGUGCUGAAAUGUGCUAAAUACUAAAAGAGACUGAAGUGGCUUGAAAAAAUACAUUUAGUGAAAGGAGUGAAUGAAGUGGCAGUCAAAAGACUGAAAGAUGUUGAAAUGGCAGAUAAGCAAAAGUGCCAUAAUAAAUUUAAAGAAAGAAGAAGUUGAAGUAGCUCAUGGCAGUCAAAAUGAAAAUGCUAAAAGUUCAAAUACUGAAAGAAACUGAAGUGGCAACUGGUGAAAAAAACUGGAGUGAGAGUUAAAAUGGAAGUGCUAAAAGAAGUUGAUAUACUGAAAGAAGCUGAAGUGGCAGUUGAAAGACUGAAAGAAGUUGGAAUGUUAGAUAAAACAGAAGAACUGAAUUGUGUUAACUACUGAAAGAAGUUGAAGUGGUUUACAACAUACAUUUAGUGAAAGAAGUUUGAGUGGAACUUUAAAUGGAAGUGCUAAAACAUUGAGAUACAGAAAGGAAAUGAAGAGGCAGUCAAAACACUAAAAGAAACUGAAAUGGCAGAUAAAACAAAAGUGCUGAAAGUGCAGUUAA